GCUAUCUUUAAUAAGGUCAGACCACACUGAGGUCCCAGCUACACAGAGACAUCUUUAAUAAGGUCAGACCACACUGAGGUCCCAGCUACACAGAGACAUCUUUAAUAAGGUUAGACCACACUGAGGUCCCAGCUACACAGAGACAUCUUUAAUAAGGUCAGACCACACUGAGGUCCCAGCUACACAGAGACAUCUUUAAUAAGGUCAGACCACACUGAGGUCCCAGCUACACAGAGACAUCUUUAAUAAGGUCAGACCACACUGAGGUCCCAGCUACACAGAGACAUCUUUAAUAAGGUCAGACCACACUGAGGUCCCAGCUACACAGAGACAUCUUUAAUAAGGUCAGACCACACUGAGGUCCCAGCUACACAGAGACAUAUUUAAUAAGGUCAGACUACACUGAGGUCCCAGCUAAACAGAGACAUCUUUAAUAAGGUUAGACCACACUGAGGUCCCAGCUACACAGAGACAUCUUUAAUAAGGUCAGACCACACUGAGGUCCCAGCUACACAGAGACAUCUUUAAUAAGGUCAGACCACACUGAGGUCCCAGCUACAGAGACAUCUUU